GAGGUGGCUGCCGUCAGGUAGGGCUGAAUCAGACAGCUAACCUUACAUCUUCUUUCUUCACCUGGAAGAUCACCCUUCCAUCCCUCCCCAAAACCCGAAGACCUGAUCUCCGCGGAUAGAAGUCCGUGAGGGCAGUCCUUUUUUGUUGUUGUGUUUGUGGUUUGUUUUGUUAUUUAUUUUUUUUUCCUUGCAGCCUGCCUCUCUGUUACAGGGGCUGAGCAAGUCGGGGACAAGUACGUGAGUGGAGAGGGGAGAGAAAUGCAGAUGCCCAUUGCGCUUUGCAUUAACUUUUCCCUUAGCCGGGCCCGUUUCCCUCCAGCCGAGAGCUGGUGCGCAGCAGCAGUUCUCAUGUCUGUCUGUCUGUCUGUCCGCUGCUGGCCUGGGCUGCGUGUUACCUCCGUCCGUCCCCAUCCCUUUCCUCAGCCUCCAGCCAAACAAAGGGAGAGAGGAAAAAAGCAGCCCAGGAAGUGUAAAGUGGAAAGCGACCCUCUUCCUAUUUGACGACAGCGCCAAUUCCUCCGGGAUCCCACCUGAGAUUAAAGCCCGAAUUUCAAUAAAUCAGCUCUAAUGAAACCUCUGGCCCCGAAGAGGGAAGGGUUUGCCUUUCCCGCUCCGAAAUGAGCAGAGAAACCAGGAGCGGGGGGUGGGGAGAAGAAGGAGUAAAUAUAGAAGGGGGUGUGAGAUUUUAAUCCCAGCGGGCUCAUUAGCAUCGUUAUGAAAUAAACCAUACACGGAGUGAUGUA